rnacentral:rRNA from 1 species
AUUGAACGCUGGCGGCAGGCCUAACACAUGCAAGUCGAGCGAGCGGCGGACGGGUGAGUAAUGUAUGGGGACUGCCCGCUAGAGGGGGAUAACUACUGGAAACGGUGGCUAAUACCGCAUACUAUCGGAUAACCCAUAUGGGUUUAGCUGGUAGGUGGGGUAAAGGCUCACCUAGGCGACGAUCCCUAGCUGGUCGGAGAGGAUGAUCGGCCACACUGGGACUGAGACACGGCCCAGACUCCGCCGGAGCAAGCAGUGGGGAAUAUUGCACAAUGGGCGCAAGCCUGAUGCAGCCAUGCCGGGUGUAUGAGGAAGGCCUUAGGGUUGUAAAGUACGUUCAGCGGGGAGGCGUUACCCGCAGAAGAAGCACCGGCUAACUCCGUGCCAGCAGCCGCGGUAAUUC